rnacentral:lncRNA from 1 species
UUUUUUUUUUUUUUUUUUUUUUUUGUCUUUUUGCCUUUUUUCUUGGGCCGCUCCCGCGACAUAUGGAGGUUCCCAGGCUAGGGGUUGAAUCGGAGCUGUAGCCACCAGCCUAUGCCAGAGCCACAACAACGCAGGAUCCGAGCCAUGUCUGCGACCUACAUGGCAAUGCUGGAUCUUUAACCCACUGAGCAAGGGCAGGGAUCGAACCCGCAACCUCAUCGUUCCUAGUCAGAUUUGUUAACCACUGCACCACGACGGGAACUCCUGAGCCCAGAUUUUUAUGUGUGUGUACUUUCUAGGGUUACACCCGCAGUAUAUAGAGGUUCCCAGGCUAAGGGUCGAAUGGGAGCUACAGCUCUCAGCCUACACCACAUCUACAGCAUCUGAGCUGCAUUUGUGACCCACACCACAGCUCACAGCAACACCGGAUCCUUAAACCACUGAGCGAGGUCAGGGAUCGAACCUGCAACCUCAGUUGGAUUCAUCUCUGCUGCGGGACUCCCAUGAGCCAGCAGUUUUCUACCUACACUGCAGCUGUGAGUACAGGAUCUUUUAACCCACUGUAGGUGCCAGGGAUUGAACCUGCAUCCUGGCGCUGCAGAGAUGCUGCUGAUUCCGUUGUGCCACACAGUAGGAAGUCCAAUCUCCCUUUGUAAAGACUCUUCCAUGUUUAUGUAUUCAAAUACUUAAAACAUCCUAUCUUUCCUCUUUUUCCCUCAAAUGUCUGUAGCCCCAUCUCAUGCAAGAAGUUGACACACAGGUAAGAGAAAACUAGAUUUCUCCUCUCCACAGAUUUUUUAUUUUAAAAAACACACAAACACAAACCUUACUCUGUUGUUUGCAAUAUAUACACCUGAGGGAAAACCCUGAAACAAAAUUAUUUUUCAAGAGGGUGCACAUGGAGGCUUGCACGUGCCCCCACUCCAUGCACUAAAUCUACCGCUCAAGUCUGAAGCUGUUUUUCACUUACAAAGGGAUUUGAAAUUUUUAUUGUGCGUGUUUUAGUGCUUAGGCAUUUUACCUCUGCUAAAUGUAAUAUGUCAUCAGUUUUGAUUUUUAUACUUAGCUGAAUCUGCGUUAAGACUCCUUGGGGGUAUGGUUUUAUAGUUUUUCUCACUUGGCUUUCUUUGAGCUAUACUGGUUGUAUAGUAUACAUCAUUCAGUUGCGUUUGUUCAAAACAGUUACAUGAUGAGUUUUAUACCCUUUACUUAAGCAGUGAGGCUGUCUGAUGUUCUUCACUGGAGGGAACACAUACCUUUGUGUGUUUAGGAGCAGGACAGAUCUUAUAGAGUGUAUGGAGUUAUGGUCACAGCACUAGUAAAACCCUCUUGCCCGGAGACUUCUCACACUGAUAUCAAAGUCCUUGAAGUUCCAACAUUCAUUCCUUUUAAGCUUCACUCUCUUCUAUAGCACUUUCAAAGUGAUAGUAGCAAGGAGAACUGAAAUACUGGCCUCAAAUUGAUAGUUGAGAAUUCACUGUUUUAUUUAUUUAUUUUUUUGCUUUUUAGGGCCGCACCUGUGGCAUAUGGAUGCCAGUUGGGUUAUUAACCCGCUGAGGCACAAUAGGAACUCCCAUGAAUUAAUUGUUUCAACCUCUGUAGCUGAGAAUCAAAAGCUCUCCAUUUGACAGUUACAGAUCAGAAGAGUAAGAAUUCUGCAUGUCUGACUAGAGGAGGAGCUUCCAGGAGACAGAAAAGGAAUAAUUAUGCUGUCAUCUGUCAUGACUGCACAGUUCUGCCCAGGGCCGCCCAGGUUAAAAGAUAAAUGGCUCAGGAGACCCAGAAACUUGAGGAAAUGUAGGGUUUUGUGAACUAGAAAAGCAAGUGUUAGGAAAUUCCCAAAAUGCAAUUGUAUCAUCUCGUUUUCAACCAAAAACAUCCAUUUCUUUUAGAAGCCAAGUCCUUGUUGAAACUUUAGCAUAUAGCUUGCUUUUCAGACAUCCUGGCCUAUGGUCAAUGUGAUCAGUUUUUAACUAUUCCUCAAAUUUAAAGCUAAGUGAUGCUUAAGUCUGUUAAGCUAAAAGGUAUUGUUUUGUGUAGAAAAGCAAAAUAUGUGACUUUGGAGAUUUAGGCAUAAGGAUAGAAGCUGAAGAAAUUGCAGAUUCUGAGAAUAUUCCAGACCAGAGUUUUGACAAUGCAGCAUGAGGCUGAGCAUUGAAAGAUACAUCAAACUAUUUUACUCAUAGUCCACCUCAUGUUAACAUAUUGAUGUUUGAAGAAUAAUUCUUGAUUGCCUGGUGGGGAGAGAAGUUUCUGUUCCUAGCAAGCUUGAUCUUUAUUUUUCCCACAAGUCAAGGCUGAUGGAUUGUAAUUUCACACAGAAGUAACCAAAAGCCAGGCCACAGCUCGGAUCCCUUAAGAAGAUACGGUCCUGGCAGGGUUGAGAGAAAGCCUAGAAAUAGUUCUCUAUUUGGCUGCAGCUUGGAAAGGGAUGGUAAGAGAACUGACAAUUUAUACUCUUAGGCAAAAAAAUGGAGGCUGAUGAAAAGAUUUAAUAUUAUUUCACCACUGCCACUCCCUUAAUGGUUUUCUCUAUUUGUUGUUACCUGGUUUAGAUAAGAUAAGCAACAUUCUAGAAUCCUCCUCUGCCAAUUUUGCACGACUUUCCUCUACUCAUUAGUGGUAAUAAUUUUAAUUCUAAUCAUCGAACUGAAAAACUUUUUUCUAAAUUCUGAAAAAUUGUGAGUGUGAAGUAUAUGUGAUCCCAAUCAUUUUGGAUAAAGGAUCAAGGGACUACAUUCCCUGGUGGCCUAGUGGUUAAAGAUUUGGUGGUGUCACUGCUGUGGCAUGGGUUUGAUCCCUGGCCCAGGAACUUCCACGUGCUACAGGCACAGCCAAAAAAAUAAAAUAAAAUAAGUAUCACAAAAUAGCAUUUAUCCUCAUAUAUGUGUGUAUAUAAUGUAUAUACUUAUACAUUUAAAAUGCUCAUUGCAAUCCAUUAUUUUGGCCAUUCACAGUUUGAGAACCUCUGUCCAAGAUGUCAUUAGCCCUUUGCUGUUCCACUGGAGUCAAACGUUUCUAGUUCCUAGAAUCUAAGUCCCUAAGAUACUUAGUCCUGCCAUCUCCAGGAAGAGCAAUAGGAUUUGCUUUUGGGCCUGCUUUAUGUCAGGUUCUGGGACCUGUACGUGUUGGACAAUCUUUUCCCCUUUUUAGACACAAGAGGCAAGACAACUGCAUUUUAUACACAAUAAAGACACUCCUAUUUGCCAGAUUUACUAAAAAUGAAAAUAUAUCCAGUUUUGUGUUGACCUGUAACAUGAAGUAAAUUUACCAACAGUACUGUUCUUCUCCCUCCACUCCUACCUUGUGGCUUUAAGGGCACGUCUUAUUUGCAAGAAGAUGCCUAAAAGGGAACCAGGCCUAUGAUGGUGGCCAAAGAUAAGUGAUAGAUCAGUGACGUCUAGGGUGACCCACUGUGUGGUUUACCUGAGGCAGGCAGGCUGAGAGCUAGUGGGAGGCGGGACUUUCAGGUUUUUGUUUUUUCUUUGCUUUUUAGGGCAGCACUCUCGGCAUAUGGAGGUUCCCAGGCUAGGGGUCUAAUCAGAUCUGCAGCUGCCUGCCUACACCACAGCCACAGCAGCUCCAGGAUCUGAGCCACAUCUGUGACCUACACUGCGGCUCACGGCAAUGCCCGAUCCUUAACCCACAAAGCGAGGCCCGGGAUGGAACCUGAAACCUCAUGCUUCCUAGUUGGAUUCGUUUCUGUUGCACCAUGACAAGAACGCCAGGACUUUAAGUUUUUAAACAAGUAAAGUCCUAGCAAAAUGAGUUGGUCACCAUAAUACGUCUUUUCUUGGUGGUUAUGAGGACGUUUGAGAAAGUUUCUUUAAGUUUAAAGGGGAAGUUUUUUUCCCCAAUAAAACCCAGCAAUGUAAAGGAAAUCAUGGGUCAAAAAUCUAUGAAUGGAAAUUGACAGAAUUUUAAAAUCAGAAUUAUGAAAUUGGAUCCAUUUGUUAAAAAAAAAAGUGAAGUUCCAAAAAAAUGGUGAUGAUGGAAAGGAUACUUUACUGUUAUAUACAUAAAAAAGUGAAACUGCCCAAUGAUGAAAAAAUGGAAUCUUUUCAAAAGGGGAAAACAGGAGUUCCCAUCGUGGCUCAGUGGUUAACUAAUCUGACUAGCAUCCAUGAGGACGAAGGUUCGAUCCCUGGCCUCACUCAGUGGGUUAAGGAUCCUGUGUCGCCGUGAGCUGUACUGUAGGUCGAAAAUUCGGCUCAGAUCCUGCGUUACUGUGGCUGUGACCAGCAGCUACAGCUCUGAUUUGACCCCCUAGCCUAGGAACCUCCGUAUGCCUAAAAAGCAAAAAAACAAAAAAACAAAAAACGAAAGGGAAAAACAGAAAACACUGGCUUUGAAUAUUCCUAAAAUACUUGCAGCAAGGCUGUCAGAGUUUCACCCCAAAGUUGGGAAAGAGUAGCAUACAUAUCAACUCUCAAGACUGUUAGUUCAACUAUUAAAUUUCAAUAUUUAUCAGUGAUGUUCCUGUUCUUCCAAACAGAAAAAAAAUUUUUUUGACCAAAAACCGUACAUGAUGAUGUUGAAAUUCAACCCAAUUUUUGUGUCUCUGCUUUAUAUUCUACUUGGCUGAGCCUAUGAUACUUAAAAAAAAAAAACGAUUCUGAAAUUUAGUCUAACCAGCUGGCAUAGCUGUCUCUAUCCACAGAAGGAACAAGGCCAGAGCUGGAUGUGACAGCAUAUGCAUUUUUAAGUACCUAAUAUUUUUAGGAGUUCAUUAUAGUUUUUUUUUUUUAGCAAACACUGGUUAUUUUUUUUUUUUUUCAUUCUUUCAUAGGCAGGGCAAUGUGUAACUUGCAAAGGACACUAACCAUUAAUCUUUGUGCAAAAGAGGAAAAAAAAAGAUUUUGCAAUGCCUUCCUUAUUGAAUCCUAGGGAAAGUGGGAGCUAAAAGCUACCACUUCCUCAGGGCUGUUAGCAGUAGAAGGAUAAGCCUGAGGCUUUAUGAUGUAUACUAAGGGAAAUGAAACAAUAAAAACAAUUCUUAACUAUACAAAAAAUGGUAAACAACAUAGGCGAACCAUGAUCUCCUAGAGUUAUGAAGAUAGCAUAGUUUAAUUUUGUAUGUGGCUGAACAUGACUAAGGUCAUAGGCUCUGGUAGAAAAAGAAAACUGGACAGAGG